AAUUACCCACUCCCAGCACGGGGAGGUAGUGACGAAAAAUAACGAUACGGGACUCAUCCGAGGCCCCGUAAUCGGAAUGAGUAUACUUUAAAACUUUUCCCGAGGAUCAAUUGGAGGGUAAGUCUGGUGCCAGCAGCCGCGGUAAUUCCAGCUCCAAUAGCGUAUAUUAAAGUUGUUGCGGUUAAAAAGCUCGUAGUCGAAUCUGUGUCCCGCGCCGCUGGUUCAUCGCUCGCGGUGUUCAACUGGCGUGUCUCGCGGGACGUCCUGCCGGUGGGCGCUCGUAUCGUUUCGGCGGUGCGUGGCCCAACUCGUAGCCGUCUCGCGCGGUUGCGAAUCCCAUCGCGGUGCUCUUUAUUGAGUGUCGAGGUGGGCCGGCACGUUUACUUUGAACAAAUUAGAGUGCUUAAAGCAGGCCAAUUUUGCCUGAAUAUUGUGUGCAUGGAAUAAUAGAAUAGGACCUCGGUUCUAUUUUGUUGGUUUUCGGAACCCCGAGGUAAUGAUUAAUAGGAACGGAUGGGGGCAUUCGUAUUGCGACGUUAGAGGUGAAAUUCUUGGAUCGUCGCAAGACGGACAGAAGCGAAAGCAUUUGCCAAAAACGCUUUCAUUGAUCAAGAACGAAAGUUAGAGGUUCGAAGGCGAUCAGAUACCGCCCUAGUUCUAACCAUAAACGAUGCCAGCUAGCGAUCCGCCGACGUUCCUCCGAUGACUCGGCGGGCAGCUUCCGGGAAACCAAAGCUUUUGGGUUCCGGGGGAAGUAUGGUUGCAAAGCUGAAACUUAAAGGAAUUGACGGAAGGGCACCACCAGGAGUGGAGCCUGCGGCUUAAUUUGACUCAACACGGGACACCUUACCAGGCCCGGACACCGGAAGGAUUGACAGAUUGAGAGCUCUUUCUUGAUUCGGUGGGUGGUGGUGCAUGGCCGUU
rnacentral:rRNA from 1 species